rnacentral:rRNA from 1 species
AACGAACGCUGGCGGCAGGCUUAACACAUGCAAGUCGAGCGCCCCGCAAGGGGAGCGGCAGACGGGUGAGUAACGCGUGGGAAUCUACCGUGCCCUAAGGAAUAGCUCCGGGAAACUGGAAUUAAUACCUUAUACGCCCUUCGGGGGAAAGAUUUAUCGGGGUAUGAUGAGCCCGCGUUGGAUUAGCUAGUUGGUGGGGUAAAGGCCUACCAAGGCGACGAUCCAUAGCUGGUCUGAGAGGAUGAUCAGCCACAUUGGGACUGAGACACGGCCCAAACUCCUACGGGAGGCAGCAGUGGGGAAUAUUGGACAAUGGGCGCAAGCCUGAUCCGGCCAUGCCGCGUGAGUGAUGAAGGCCCUAGGGUUGUAAAGCUCUUUCACCGGUGAAGAUAAUGACGGUAACCGGAGAAGAAGCCCCGGCUAACUUCGUGCCAGCCGCCGCGGUAACAC